rnacentral:lncRNA from 10 species
AGGAAGCAUGCAUUUAUUAUACAUAACAAGACGUGAAAGCCGCAAGAGUUUCAGCCUAAACACUGAAGACCCCGCGAAGUGAAUCCAGCUGCUGCUCUACAAGCAGCAACAACAACUGGGAAGCCUUCUCAGCUACACUUCGGGGCACUGGUCCAACCCCACGCAAAAUCCCUCGUUUCCCUUAGCGUGCAGAACCACGGGCACGGUGAUGAUGGUGACAAGCGCAGCAGCACCCAGCAGUCCCAGAAGAACCUUCCACGGUGUCUGCAAGCCGAGCAGAUCAAGUCCAAUUAGAGGGAAGCGUGUGGCCCCAGUUUCCGUAGGAGGGUCGGGGCUGCUCCAGAGGCAGCAGGAUUUGCAGGAAGGAAGACUGUACACAGAGAAUAAAUAACUUGGCCAAGCCAUUCAGCUAGGAAGUUGUAGAUCCUAAAUUAAGAGUUCAAGGUCUUAAUGGCUACUCUAUGCGGCCUCUCAUAGUCUUUUCAAGGGUUUUGGAGAAGAAUAAAAGAUCAGUCAUCCACAGAUGUUUGAGUGGUUACAAUGUGCCAGCCUCCCUUCUAGGUACUGGAGAUAAAGUGGGACAAGAGAGGUGAGGUCUGGACCCUUGGCACUUUCACGAUAAAAUACACAGGCAUUGCUUUUGAACUCAGUCAUCUUUUCCCCCUUGCCCACUAGUUGCUUGUGAUACAUCAGUAUCCUCACUCACCCCCAACUCCAGAGGCUGAAACUAACUCUCCUCCUCCCUCUUCCAACUGCUGAGGAAGAUGAGUCAAUGGUGUUACUGGACCCUGUGAACUGAUGCUGUGAAGAGAGGCCAUUUAACACGGACUACGGGGAAUGGUGCCACAGGGGGCUCAGUGCUGCCCUUCACUCUCAGCAUUUUGCUCACUCAGCAUUGGUAAGCCACAUCAGCCUCGGUGAAGGAAGUCUGGAGAGUUAAGCCUGUGCUUCAUCUCCAUGCCAGCACCAUGGCACUCAUUGUACAUUCAGCAAGCCCCAAGGAAGCUGGCAGGAGGCUGGCUGACAUCUACGGGACAGGUCAAUUUGUUCUCUGGAGGGCACUCCAUGAGACGCAAAUAUCUUCACACCCUGUGCCCAUUUCAAGAGACUCUCUCACAUGCCUCCCCCACCUUGACCUCUGUGUCACCAGUCUUUCAAUCUUGUUUUUUCCAAAUCCUUAAGGUAGCAGCUGGCCAACACAUUAGCCACCACUGAUGAGUCAGUGUAGAUCUUACAUUGGGCCAUCUCUUUUUUCUUGCAAAAUAGAAAAGCAGAUGUUCUGCUCAAAGUUCUGUUUGUCAGUAAGAUUUCCCUUUCUGCUGUGUUUCAGGACAUCCCUGGGAGGGACUCUGAUGCAGCAGCCAUCUACUUAUUGCUAGUGCCAGCUUACUUUGCAUAACAUUGACUCCUUUCCCUCAUCUGUUGCCUAGUUGUAGGAAACUCCUUGUGAAGCUAUAGGUGUGCACUGAGGGAGAGACAUUGAGUCAAUGGGAGCAGGCAUCAUAGAGUCUAAGUUUUCUGCUAGUCUGAGUUUCUUGUGCCUUGUGGACCUGGUGGGCUUAUCUCCUUUAUCAUAUAGAUACAAUUUUCGCUUAAUAAUAGCAUGCUCCUGCAAAUGCCCAAUUUUAUCAUGUGGUAGAUUAGGCAACACUCAGUUUAUUAGGGUAGCUAGGUUGUGCAGUUACUUGAUGUUAUGGAUUGAAUUGUGUCCCUCCAAAAGAUAUAUUAGAAUCCCAACCUUUAGGACUUCAGAGUGUGACAUUAUUUGAAUAUAGGGUCUUUACAGAGUUAAUCAAUUUUUUUGAAUCUUAUAUAGCUUUUAUUUCAG